GGGAGAGUUCUCUUUUCUUCUUAACUGUCUAUCACCCUGAAAUCGGUUUGUCCGGAGCUAGGGUUUAAUGGCAGGUAGAGCAGCACACCUUUGUGCUGUCCGGUGCGCUCUCGACGACCCUUGAAAAUCCGCCGGAAGGAAUGAUUUUCACGCGAGGUCGUACUCAUAACCGCAGCAGGUCUCCAAGGUGAACAGCCUCUAGUUGAUAGAA
rnacentral:rRNA from 13 species